GCCAGAGUGGUUGUGUAAGGAUCUGUGCUCAUACAGUAUCUGAGAUGCAGUUUCCUUUCAUCUACCUCCUUCAUCCCCUUCCUCCCGGUCCUGGUUUUUCAUUUGUGACAACUUGCUUAGAUUGUGUGGGACGCUGGAGGCGGGGGAAGAGGCCCAGAGCAAAAUCCCAGUGCUAACUUUGUACAUCGGCUGCCACCCCAUGAGCACCAUCUAGCUGACUUCUAACACAACAGCAUGGGAGGCUGAGCAGGUGCAGCCACUGAAAUUCAAUGAAACAAGCUUUCCAUGCUAUAGCUUGGUGAUGUAAGCUAUAAAAAUACCGUGAAGCACCUGGGAGCCUGAUAUCCGUAUAAACUGCUUGGCACAAACACAAGUCUGGUAGUCUCAUGGUGCAGUGAUGUGGCAAAAGUAUUUUCGGAUAUGGGGUGUCUGCAUGAAGCAAGUUUCACAGUCUGGGGAUCAGGGCUUUUCACCUUUUGUACUGUAUAAAUAGCAAGAGUAUUGCAUCCCAUUUGUUUUCAGCUGAUCAAUUCUCUGUAAAGACAGCACUGUGCUGAGGGAAAAGCACUGAACUGAAGCCUGAAAACCUCCUUUUGCCUGAAUACACUCUGGGAUUCCUCAUCUGAGAAACAGGAAUGUUACAUUUCCAAUCCUGAUCUAAAAAGUCUCACUGAAGAAUUUUGCUGGAAUGGUGACAGCCUACCAUUACAGAAGCACUGCUUGUUGUUCGUGUUAGCAUUGCACUGAUACAUAGGGGGGAUGAUUUGCAUUGUAGAAAUUGAGAGAUCAGGGAACCACUGCACUGCGCGCAACUGUGAACUGUGAAACUGUAUCUUCUAUAUGUCUUCCAGUUUAGUGAGAUUUCCGUUCAAGCAGCAGUGUGUAGUCACAUGCCACAGUCUGGAGCACCACAGGUUGGGCACCUCCAGGAAAAUGCAGCACGAGAGCUCUGGGGUCUGUAGGGAUCUCACAGCAAGUCAGAAAUCGGUGCUGGGACAAACAUCUCAAGGCUGCCCCUCUCCUGCAAUAGAUAUAGUCUGUCCCUGCCUGUUCCCAGCAAAACCAAGAAGAAAUUAUUGAGAACAAACACGUCAGCACAUGAACUGCAUUGUCUCAAAGAGAAGCAGAAUGGUUCCCUGCCUACCCAUAUAACAUCCCUUAGACACCACCAGGAGCUGAGCCUGCGCUGGGCACCUUGUGACAGGGUUGAUGCAGUGACCACCUACUCGUGUUCUCAACAAAGCAGUUUGCUGAGGUCCUGUGAGAAGGAGAAAGCUGUCAGAGGGGUAUCUGCAGGUUUUCUCUUCUACCACUGUCUCUCACCUGGAAACAUUAAGCUACAUGAAAUAUCAAGGAGGCAAAGGCCCAGCAUGACAGCAUGGCAUAUCACCAUAUGACUGGCACUGUCUGCUUCGGGCACCAUCGGUCAAUGUGAACGAAUCAGAGGAGCGCACCAUAUACCCUGCAAACUGUUGUGCAAAAAUUCAGAGUUUACAAUUUCCUCUCCUGAGAAGAGAUAGUUUACCAGCUGAAGCUGUGCUAAAUUAUGGAAGAGAAAAUCAAGUGCUAUAAUUGUCCUGGUGGCACCAGGGGAAACUUGGUAGGCAAUGCAACUGGGAAAAGCUGGUGGAAAGCAUGUAGAGUCACUUCCUCACCUCUCCAAGCCCCUUUUCCUCUACUCAGAAUAAUGUCCCUCACUGAUUGACCCCUGCUGCUACGCUUUUGUAAUAAAUCAUAGCCAGAGUGGGAACAUCGAACUGUGAUAUACAGCUCUAUUCAAAUCACACUCUUUUCUACCUCUGAGGAGCUUGCUUGUUAUGGAGACUUGCGAGUUAUAAAUAGGACAACAUAUAACGAGCUUCAUUGCAAAGAUAUGCUAGAAAAUAUUUUCUCUGUGGGGAGAGAUUCUUUUAAAAGAGCCUUUCGGUUUUCCUGCUUCAGUACAUACUUCUGCUGGUCCCUGUCCUGACUACCCAAAGGCUCAACCAGGGCAGCAGGACUCGACUUUUCAGAACUUGCUGCUUCUUUCCCCUGCUUUGCCACAGACCUUAAUGCAGUGUUUCAGUAUGUUCACCUGCAGAAGAAGGAAUUUCUCCUAACCUAGACUAUAAUUUGAGGACCUGUGCAGAGCCAGCAUGAGGUAGCAUUACCACGCAGGACAAGGACUAUCUCUGUCAGCGUAAAACAUUUUUGAAGGUGUUUGAAGCUUCAUCAUGUCAGAAGCAGAGGAAAAAACUAGUUGCGACUUGGAGUUAGAUUUCUUAACCUAUCUUUUCUUUAUUCUUUCUCCAGAUAUCCCAUGUGAGGAUUACAGAAGGCAAAAGCUUCUCCCUGUUUUGCAGUCCUCGUUUUCCCUGCAGAGGAGAAAGCAGGGAAGGGAAAGAUGGUCUCAGUGCCCCAGUGAGGAUGAAGGCUGGGUAGGGCUCAGUGACGGAGCAGGGCUGCAGUAGUUAUCUGGGACGGUUUAACAAUCACAGUGAAAUUGGACAAACUAACUUCCCUGCAUACGUAGCCCACCCUAAGGUACGUGGCAAUCGUACUGCAUGAGAACAUUGCGAUUGACUUUCUGGACAGCUUUGGUAGCUAAUGGACAGUGAGAGGGGCACUGGGGACCUGCAUUCUGGUCCUGACGUUGCCACUGGCUUGCUGAGUGACCCUGAAUUUAUCACUUCAUCUCUCUGGGGCAGUUUCCCCCUGACUCUCUGUUUUUUUUCUCAUUGUGAAUCUUCUUGACAGGAAGGACAGCCUCUUGCUGAAAAUUGGCAUCAUGUCAGUCUUAACUCCUGUCUUACCUGUGGUCUCCCAGUGCUGCUAUAAUCUCGUAAUUCGUCAUAUUUGUAGCGAUAGUACUACUGUUGAAUGCAAAUCUGUAUCAUUACAUUACCACUAAUAGAUCAUUCACACAGCUGUUUUUCCUAGUUCCUGAAAAAUUUUGUGUGAAGCAGUAAAUAGGAGCAGGGAAGUACUGAAAGUACUUUAGAUCGUCUGGAGAUGUGAAGUAAGUAAACAUAAAUCAUGGAACA